rnacentral:rRNA from 1 species
GAUGAACGCUGGCGGCGUGCCUAAUACAUGCAAGUAGAACGCUGAAGGAGGAGCUUGCUCUUCUGGAUGAGUUGCGAACGGGUGAGUAACGCGUAGGUAACCUGCCUGGUAGCGGGGGAUAACUAUUGGAAACGAUAGCUAAUACCGCAUGACAACAGUUAUUGCAUGAUAACUGUUUAAAAGGGGCAACUGCUCCACUACCAGAUGGACCUGCGUUGUAUUAGCUAGUUGGUGAGGUAACGGCUCACCAAGGCGACGAUACAUAGCCGACCUGAGAGGGUGAUCGGCCACACUGGGACGGGGACACGGCCCAGACUACUACGGGAGGCAGCAGUAGGGAAUCUUCGGCAAUGGACGGAAGGCUGACCGAGCAACGCCGCGUGAGUGAAGAAGGUUGUCGGAUCGUAAAGAUCUGUUGUAAGAGAAGAACGAGUGUGAGAGUGGAAAGUUCACACUGUGACGGUAUCUGACCAGAAAGGGACGGCUAACUACGUG